GGUCCCGUAGCUCAACAGGACAGAGCACCUGCCUUCUAAGCAGGGGGUUGGAGGUUCGAGCCCUCCCGGGAUCGCCA
rnacentral:tRNA from 3 species